GGAACCUUGGCGCAGCUGGUUAGCGCGCAGGUCUCAUACUAUCCUAUGAUUCGGUCACAGAUCGGAGUAAUCCUGAGGUCGUGAGUUCGAUCCUCACAGGUUCCA